AUUGAACGCUGGCGGCAUGCCUUACACAUGCAAGUCGAACGGCAGCACGGGAGCAAUCCUGGUGGCGAGUGGCGAACGGGUGAGUAAUAUAUCGGAACGUGCCCAGUCGUGGGGGAUAACGUAGCGAAAGCUACGCUAAUACCGUAUACGAUCUAUGGAUGAAAGCGGGGGAUCGCAAGACCUCGCGCGAUUGGAGCGGCCGAUAUCAGAUUAGGUAGUUGGUGGGGUAAAAGCCUACCAAGCCUUCGAUCUGUAGCUGGUCUGAGAGGACGACCAGCCACACUGGAACUGAGACACGGUCCAGACUCCUACGGGAGGCAGCAGUGGGGAAUUUUGGACAAUGGGCGCAAGCCUGAUCCAGCAAUGCCGCGUGCAGGAUGAAGGCC
rnacentral:rRNA from 1 species